rnacentral:rRNA from 1 species
AACGAACGCUGGCGGCGUGCCUAACACAUGCAAGUCGAACGGAAGUAAGAAGCUUGCUUUUUACUUUAGUGGCGCACGGGUGAGUAACGCGUGGAUAAUCUGCCUGAUGCUCUGGGAUAACAUCUCGAAAGGGGUGCUAAUACCGGAUAAGCCCACGAGAACGCCGGUUUUUGCGGGAAAAGGAGGGGAGCUUCGGGCCUUCCGACAUGAGAUGAGUCCGCGCUCCAUUAGCGAGUUGGGGGUGUAAAGGACCACCAAGGGGACGAUGGGUAGGUGGUCUGAGAGGAUGAUCAGCCACACUGGAACUGAGACACGGUCCAGACUCCUACGGGAGGCAGCAGUGGGGAAUUUUGCGCAAUGGGGGCAACCCUGACGCAGCAACGCCGCGUGAGUGAUGAAGGCUUUCGGGUCGUAAAGCUCUGUCAGAAGGGAAGAAAUGUAGGUGGCUAAUAUCCAUUCUACUUGACGGUACCUUCAAAGGAAGCACCGGCUAACUCCGUGCCAGCCGCCGCGGUAA